ensembl:lncRNA
GGGAGGUUGGUCUGGUGACCCCCAGGGUGAUGUUGGAGGUUGGUCUGGUGACCCCCAGGGUGAUGUUGGGAGGUUGGUCUGGUGUCCCCCGGGGCGAUGUUGGGAGGUAGGUCUGGUGUCACCCGGGGCGAUGUUUGGAGGUAGGUCUGGUGUCCCCCGGGGUGAUGUUGGGAGGUAGGUCUGGUGUCCCCCGGGGUGAUGUUGGGAGGUUGGUCUGGUGUCCCCCAGGGUGAGGUUGGUCUGGUGGUUCAACUUUGAAGUCUGGGUCUUUGUAUAUGACCUGUUUUAUCUUCCCGCCGCAUUACAGUCUGCUGGACCAAUGGUGUUCUAGACAGCCUGCUGGACCAAUGGGGUCCUAGACAGUCUGCUGGACCAAUGGGGUUCUAGACAGCCUGCUGGACCAAUGGGGUCCUAGACAGCCUGCUGGACCAACGGGGUCCUAGACAGCC